UGUGUAGGCGGUUCUUUAAGUUUGGUGUGAAAUCUCCCGGCUCAACUGGGAGGGUGCGCCGAAUACUGAGGGACUAGAGUACGGGAGAGGAAAGUGGAAUUCCUGGUGUAGCGGUGAAAUGCGUAGAUAUCAGGAGGAACACCGGUGGUGUAGACGGCUUUCUGGACCGACACUGACGCUGAGACACGAAAGCGUGGGUAGCAAACAGGAUUAGAUACCCUGGUAGUCCACGCCCUAAACGAUGCAUAUUUGGUGUGGGCAGUUCAUUCUGUCUGUGCCGGAGCUAACGCGUUAAAUAUGCCGCCUGGGGAGUACAGUCGCAAGGCUGAA
rnacentral:rRNA from 1 species